rnacentral:rRNA from 1 species
UACGUAGGGAGCAAGCGUUGUCCGGAAUCAUUGGGCGUAAAGAGCGCGUAGGUGGCUUUAUAAGUCCGUUGUGAAAGUCAAAGGCUCAACCUUUGAAAGCCGAUGGAUACUGUGAAGCUAGAGUCGGAAGAGGCGAGUGGAAUUCCUGGUGUAGCGGGUGGAAUGGCGCAGAUAUCAGGAGGAACACCAAUAGCGAAGGCAGCUCGCUGGGACGUUACUGACACUGAGGCGCGAAAGCGUGGGGAGCAAACAGG